rnacentral:rRNA from 1 species
CACGUAGGGCGCAAGCGUUGUCCGGAAUUAUUGGGCGUAAAGAGCUCGUAGGUGGUCUGUUGCGUCCGCUGUGAAAACUCGGGGCUUAACCCCGAGCCUGCAGUGGAUACGGGCAGACUAGAGGUAGGUGGGGGAGAAUGGAAUUCCUGGUGUAGCGGUGAAAUGCGUAGAUAUCAAGAGGAACACCUGAGGUGAAGGCGGCCUUCUGGACAGUGACUGACGCUGAGAUGCGAAAGCGUGGGGAGCAAACAGG